rnacentral:lncRNA from 1 species
CAUUACACUUGAUGCAGCAAGUUAUGUUGUUGUAUGGAAGAAUUCUCUAUUUACUUUGCAUGUAGCUGUUCUUUUAGAAGAUUAUUUUUUUAUACAGGAAAGUGUUAGUGGCUGCCAUCAGAUGGUUCUUACAUCUAUGGAAAGUCUGGGUUCUCGGUAGAGAUGUUAAAUGUGCUAAACAGUUUUCCUUCAGGCUAAAUGAUAGGAAUACUUAAACAUGUCUUUAUCUGCUUGUAGGAAGGCAAUAAUCAAGCAAAGUGAAAGCUGAGCAGAAUUCAGCUACUCAGUCUGAGAGACCUGUUCCAAAUGCAGCAGAAGAAAUAUCAGGGCAGAACUCAGACAAGCAUCUUAAUGCAAACAUCGAAGUAACUGAAAUGUGAAGCUGGAAAUCCAGAGAAUUCUCCAAAAGCUUUAAGUAGCUUUUUAGGCUUCAUUCAUGUUGGGCCUAAUGGAUCCUCAAAGGGGAGAAUGGUUUAUCAAAGACAAGCAUUUUAAGUACCUCGUGUUUAUGUGGGUAGCUGGUGUUGAAAACCAAACAGAAGGUAAUGACAGACCACAGCAAGCUGUCUGUUGCUGCAGAUGGAGGAUACCUCUAGGAUUUGGGUCAGAAAACACUUGGCAAGCAUCCCUCUGAAUUCUUCUUGUCACAUGUUGAAGAAGCCUGCUUAGUGGCAGGGGUGAAGAAGGAAGCAGAAAUCUUAAAAUGGCUGCAAUACGAAUUUUUUUUUGUUUUAUUUUUGUUCAGCAUCGGAGCUAUUUACAGCGUAUCUUGCCAAUUUAUUCAUACUGUUGCUGUCAUGGGUUUUCCUGAUUCUCUGCUUUCAGGACCUCCCCCCGCCCCGUGAUCCCAUUUAGGUCUGCAGUGGCAGGAGAAACGAGAGUUACUUAUGCCUCGUUUUAGAAUGGGACCUUGCAGAGAAGGUCUAAGAAGCCAUUUGUUUUCUUUAAACAUAGCUCAGCUUUGCACAGGCACUCACACACAUUCAGACGGUUUCUACUUGAAAUUCCUCAUCCAAUACAAAUAGUUCACAGUCUUGACUGUGGAAAGUGAAGGCGCUCCCCUGAC